UACGUAGGGGGCGAGCGUUGUCCGGAAUACUGGGCGUAAAGCGCGUGUAGGUGCCACGCAAGUCAGGUGUGAAAGCCCAGGGCUCAACCCUGGAAGUGCACAUGAUACUACGUGGCUGGAGUACUGAAGAGGAGAGCGGAAUUCCCGGUGUAGAGGUGAAAUCGUAGAUAUCGGGAGGAACACCAGUGGCGAAGGCGGCUCUCUGGGCAGAUACUGACACUGAGACGCGAAAGCGUGGGUAGCAACAGG
rnacentral:rRNA from 1 species